ensembl:lncRNA
CCAAUUUAGGAGCUUUCCCAUCAGAGUGGAAAAUGCAUGAAGUUUACUCAUCUUCACCACAGAAGGACAGAACGUUGAGAAGAUGGGAUCUGUCAUGAAACAACUGUUCAAAGGAACAAACCCUUCUUAUAGAAAAAAGUACGUUUUCUUCCCUUCAUCGGCUUCUCUUUCUCUAUUGAUGUAUUAUGGGUGGAUCUGCUAUUGACUUUAGUCCUUGGCCUUUGCCCAGGCAUUUCCUGUGAGAAUUGGUAGGACCAAAGCUGCCUCCAGAGUUCAGCUACAACAGGGCAGAAAUUUGUUUAUUUGUUGGAUUUAUCACUAAAGUUACAGACAUGUCAGCAAAGUCACCACUUGAUUUAUUACUGCUGAUUUUGCAUCAUCCUGAAAGGUCAGAGCCUGACUCACGGAGUGCAUUUGUGAGACUGGAAACAACAAAAGCGGUACUUCUUGUUGUGAGAAGAGCUCAUGGAAAUUUUCAAAACGAGAGCCUCAGAAUCUCGCCGUGUUCCACAUGGUGAUGGCUUUGCAUGGCUGGUUUUGUUUUAUUACUUUCUUUUUUCCAAAAACACAAUGUCUGCCUAACUACAUCACACUGCAUAGCGUAGGGCAGUGCUGAAGGGAAGCUGAAAGCUAAAUUAGCAGAUUUCUGAAAUGGCAGAGGAGUGGUUCAGAAUGAAGGCAUCUGAAAUAGCAUGUUUUAGAUGUCUACAGUGCAGUCUUUAAAACUGGAAGUUCAUUUUACAUUUAUGUGGUUGAUUAUUCUGAACCCUGUUCUUAGCCUAUAUUCAGACAGCCACAUCUAUAUUACAGUGCAUGCUCUUCUGUGUUAUUUUCUCCUGGACUGUUCUGCUUUCUUGGUUUUUGAGGAAGGUUUCCUCAAAGCAGAAGGGAAAUUAUGUAUGUGAGUGUUGAGGGGCUCUGCUAGGGACUCACUUGUCAGCAGUGGGAGACCAGUGGCUGCUGCGUGUGCUGGCAUGAUGCAGGAAGCCAGCUGAUGCUGAUCAGUGAUGCUGAUGGCAGCUCCUAUGUCAGGACAUAAGUCCUAGAUUACGUUUUCUCAACUCUGCAGUUCUACUACUCUGGUUUUGUUUUCAAAUUCAGUGUUUUAAUGUCAGUAUAUAAACAGAAUAACCAGCUCCAGCAACAAGAACAAUGUCAGGAGCCAUUAAUGACCUGAGAAGAUGUUUGAUAAAUGAAAGUAGCGUUAGGGUAAAUAAAGGUGUGACAAUGAAAGCAAGAGAAAAGGACUUUGCUGCUGUAAACUCUGUAACAAUGCUACAUUACCCGUGGUGCUUUUUGAAUACAUGCAUUUUCUUCUGAAGAAACUAAUAGUGUGAGUUUUUUUGUAGCCUAAGCAGGAGCCCUUUUGGAAGGAAAAGGAAAAGGAAAGGCCCUUGCUUUAAUCUCCAAGUAUUGUUAGUUCUUUCCAUUAUUUCCAUCCUCACUCCUUGCUGUGUGCUCUGCCCACCACCUCCACCCCACCCCCACAGGAAAAAACAAAAAGUUGAGGAUACUACAGUGGAUCAGUAGAGAACAAAGGUUUGACUUUAGGCUGAGAACUUUUUACUUUUUUAAAAGCUUUUUUUUUUUUUCCUACAAGCAAAAACCCCAUUUUUUAAUACUUUCUUUUAACUAAUGAGAAGGAAUAUAAUUGAAAUAGUUUUUCACUGGUAUGUUUUAAAUGUAAUGCGCAAACCAUAUGUCAUUAACCCCUUAUCUUAGUAUUUCAGGAAGCAAGAGAUUUGAGCUUUGUGUUUUCCUGAUUUAGAAAAAGUAUCAUUGAUUCCACCUUGAAUAGCAGGACACCAUCAGAAGGACUCUGCUUGCAUAGCAUUUGCUCAAACUGAGUAAACAGUUUAAAGAUAAGCAGCUUUUUGACUAUGAAAUGUAGCAGGCGUGUGGCUGACACAGCUUCACGCUGAAGAUGCCUUUGUGCCUGUCUUUGUGAUGGAGAGCACACAGAUGUUCUCCUUGACAUUUAAAAAAACCUGCUGCUUAGCAAAAUAACAUGUAAAAUUAGAACGAACAGUACAGCAGUGAACAGUGUAACUGGUUAGCCUGCCCAGCGGAAGACUGUCUCAUGUCAAUGUAAUGGUGCGUGUUCUUAUUGGUACUCAGUAACUCCUUCAUCAUUAUUUAAAAAUAGCCUAUG